CCACGAAUACGAUUCCUUUUUCGCUUUCGAUUCGCCGCCAGUGCGCCACCUCCACCAUCGCCCGUCACCGCUCGCUGCCGCCCAUCGUCGCCUCGUCGCCUCGUCGCCGCUCGCCACCGCCCAUCAUCGCCUCAUCGUCGCUCGCCAUUGCCCCGCCGCCGCUCGCCGCCACCCAUCAUCGCCUUGUCGCCACGAUCAGUCUCGCGGAUCAGCUGGACUAAAACCCUAAAAGCAGCACUCGUCUGCUCGUCGCGAACGGCUCGCGGAACCAUCAUCGGAGGAUAGAGCCGCUUGGUUCAGGUAAUCCGUCUGAACACGCAUUCGUGGAUUUCAUUUAUGUUGAGCUGUCGUCGUUGAAGAGGGUGUGCAGGUAUAUAGAUGUUCUUGAUCGCGGUCUGCCUCGUGGGUUUAUGACUAGGGAGCGUUUAACUGAAAUGAUAUUUGGGUUUUGCGGGAAUCUGGAUUUGGAACAGAGCAUGGUUUAAGAGCAUUGCUGAUUAGCUAACCUUUGUGCUUAUGUUUUAUGGACAUUGUGUUUCAUGGUCGGUAUAGUAGAAAGAGAAGAUGGGUUUGUUGGGUAGGAGGACAAAAUGAUGCUGCCUACGUUUUGCCCAAUUUUAUUGAGAUAAUCUCGAGGUAGCCUUAGCGAGCAAUGCUUAGAGAUAUUGAGCAGUCUUUCUCGCUUCUGACUUGGCUUCCAUGAGUUUUGGUGUUGGACAACCAUUUGUUAUUUUAAUGAUCUGAACUUUUGUUCAUUUUCUUGAGUGGUAAGUUUGUGCACCUAUGUCUUUAUUAUGUUUUGUGCUCUCUAAAGAAGGUGAGGAUGAAUUUGAUGACUGCUGCUUUUUUCAUUGGUCAGAUUCUUUGAUAGAUGCUAGAGACUUGGGUUUUUCAUUAACAUCCAUGUUCCAUGUAUGAAUUCAUUCUUUACCCUUUAUGUUAAAUUCAUAAUAUGCAAUCCUGAACCUGUUCUAAUUUAUGUUUUCUCCAACUAAUUAGUUGACAUGUCAAGAGAUAACGAGGAUCAAGAAGAAUAUUCAACUACAGAACAAUUCGAGAGACGUAGAGUUGCAUCCUUAGUUCGUGAGGAUGAGGAAGAUAACUCUACUUGCUCUAAGCGUUCAAGAAAAUGCACUCUCUCUCUCUCGAUAUGUGACUAAGAUUUCCUUGUUCUCUUUGCUUUUGCAGUUUGCUCCAACCAUUGAAAUGAUCGAUGACCAACAUCUGUAGUGUGGCUGUGACAGCGUGAACAUGUGCUUCAGUCUUCUGCUCUACUUCAUAAUGAAGCAUGGCGUUACAUCGAGGGGGAACUUGCAAUGAAUUGUCUCUCUAAUCAAGUUUACGAAUUUGUUAUGCUCUCGAAACCUUACCAGUUCAAGAUCAGUCCUAUGCCCUGCAAAUAGAAGCAUGUGGUUAAACCCCUGGUUCUCUUUUUCUCUUUGUAAAAGAAUGACUGGCUAUAGGAUAGGAUUUGACAGAUCGAGUCGGUAAUGGUUGAGGAAAGUGCUGUGUGACAUCUUAGAAGCUCCUGAAGACAUUUUUUUGUGGAAGUCAUGUAUAUUUGCAUUAGAUAGUUUGCCCUAGAUUUGAUGCACCAGUUGAAACAUAUGUUCUAGAGUCAUACUGCAAGGAGUCCGAGACUAUGGGCCAAAUCAUGUGUUGAAGCUGCAGCAAUUUAAUGGUAGUACAGUUACAAUAUCGCCUUUGACGGCCCAAGAAGCGAAAGC
rnacentral:lncRNA from 1 species